rnacentral:rRNA from 1 species
UCCGUAGGUGAACCUGCGGAAGGAUCAUUAUCGAGUUUUGACUGGGUUGUAGCUGGCCUUCCGAGGCAUGUGCACGCCCUGCUCAUCCACUCUACACCUGUGCACUUACUGUGGGUAUCAGAUCGUGAAGCGUGCUCUUUUACCGGAGCUUGUGAAGCGUGUCUGUGCCUGCGUUUAUCACAAACACUAUAAAGUAUCAGAAUGUGUAUUACGAUGUAACGCAUCUAUAUACAACUUUCAGCAACGGAUCUCUUGGCUCUCGCAUCGAUGAAGAACGCAGCGAAAUGCGAUAAGUAAUGUGAAUUGCAGAAUUCAGUGAAUCAUCGAAUCUUUGAACGCACCUUGCGCUCCUUGGUAUUCCGAGGAGCAUGCCUGUUUGAGUGUCAUGAAAUCUUCAACCUAUAAGCUUUUGUGGUUUGUAGGCUUGGACUUGGAGGCUUGUCGGCCUUGGUCGGUCGGCUCCUCUUAAAUGCAUUAGCUUGAUUCCUUGCGGAUCGGCUCUCGGUGUGAUAAUAUCUACGCCGCGACCGUGAAGCGUUUGGCGAGCUUCUAACCGUCUCACUUGAGAGACAAUUUUAUGACCUCUGACCUCAAAUCAGGUAGGACUACCCGCUGAACUUAAGCAUAUCAAUAAGCGGAGGA